rnacentral:lncRNA from 1 species
CCGCAUUUUCCCCCUUUCCCCCCUCGUUUUGCCAUCCCCGGACUGCAGGCAUGGUGACGUUCGAACGAAUGCGUCGCCUAGGUUGCAGGGGGCCCCCGUCAUGCCCUUAAACACGCCCUCCUAACAAUUCUGCCCCGCCGCGUUUUCCCUCUUUCCCCCCUCGUUUUGCCAUCCCCCGACUGCAGCCAUGGUGACGUUCAAACGAAUGCGUCGCCUAGGUUGCAGGGGGCCCCCGUCAUACCCUUAAAUCGCCCUCCUAACCAUUCAGCUCCGCCACGUUUUACCCCUUUCCCCCCUCGUUUUGCCAUCCCCCGACUGCGGCCAUGAUGACGUUCAAACGAUGUCAGAAGUAGGCUGGGCAGGGAGGGUGUGCGCAUGGGAUGUGCCUGGCAUGCACCUUGAUGGGCCAGCAGCCUUGUACAGGCUGUGCACCCCAUCUGGUAGCGCUGGGUUGACCAGGUGUGCAUGGUGCAGGUGGCGAGCCAGCGCCUCCAUACAGGCGUAUGUUCCUCUGCCCCUGCAUUCUGGCAUCCUGUUGUUGUUGGAGGGGUUGCACUGUGUGGCUGUAAUGUGUCAGAAGUACAGGCGCGGCAGCGGCGGGAAAUAGCAACAGCAGCAGGCGCGGCGGCGGCGGGAAUUAGCAACGGAGUAGCAGCGGCAGCGACGAAGGUGGGGCUGGGAGGUGCAGUAGCCUAAACGGCAGGUGCGGCGGCGGCGGGAAAUAGCAACGCAGCAGCAGCGGCAGCGACGGUGUUGGGGCUGGGAGGUGCUGUAGCCUAAACGGCAGGCACGGCAGCGGCGGGAAAUAGCAACAGCAGCAGGCGCGGCGGCGGCGGGAAUUAGCAACGGAGUAGCAGCGGCAGCGACGAAGGUGGGGCUGGGAGGUGCAAUUGUCUGAACAACAGGCGCGGUGGCGGCGGGAAAUAGCAACAGCAGCAGGCGCGGCGGCGGUGGGAAUUAGCAACGGAGUAGCAGCGGCAGCAACGGUGGUGGGGCUGGGAGGUGCAUUAGUGAGGGCCUUUAUUUUACAAAAAUGGGCCACAUCCAAUUGGCCAUCCAAUCUUUUCUCUCUUCACUCUCUUCCAAGUGAUGUAGCCACAGAGAACAUACAAUCACUAUUUUGGUAUUGCUGUGGCUGCCAGUUCAACUCUGGCAUGGAAGUCAUUUUCCUUACUCUGACUAUAUACCUACUACUAUUAUACUAAAGGGUAGUACCAGUGCUACUAUAUACAUACAAGUAGUUGUAGUAGCAGCACAUACAAUAAAUCGCAAGUGUGAUGCCAUUUCGUGAAACAAAAUUUUCAAAAUUCUCGCCAGUCCAGAAAUGCAAGUCCAGCAGGCGCGGCGGCGGUGGGAAUUAGCAACGGAGUAGCAGCGGCAGCAACGGCGGUGGGGCUGGGAGGGCCAUUAGUCUCAACAGCAGGCACGGCGGCGGGGGGAAAUAGCAACAGCAGCAGGCGUGGCGGCGGCAGGAAUUAGCAACGGAGUAGCAGCGGCAGUGAUGAAGGUGGGGCUGGGAGGUGCAGUAGCCUAAACGGCAGGCGUGACGGCGGCGGGAAAUAGCAACGCAGCAGCAGCGGCAGUGAUGGCAGUGGGGCUGGGAGGUGCAGUAGCCUAAACGGCAGGCACGGCGGCGGCGGGAAAUAGCAACAGCAGCAGGCGCGGUGGCAGCGGGAAUUAGCAACGGAGUAGCAGCGGCAGCGACGAAGGUGGGGCUGGGAGGUACAGUAGCCUAAACGGCAGGUGCGGCGGCGGCGGGAAAUAGCAACGCAGCAGCAGCGGCAGUGACGGCGAAGGGGCUGGGAGGUGCAGUAGCCUAAAUGGCAGGCGCGGCAGCGGCGGGAAAUAGCAACAGCAGCAGGCGCGGCGGCGGUGGGAAUUAGCAACGGGGUAGCAGUGGCAGCGACGAAGGUGGGGCUGGGAGGUGCAGUAGCCUAAACGGCAGGUGCGGCGGCGGCAGGAAAUAGCAACGCAGCAGCAGCGGCAGCGACGGCGAAGGGGCUGGGAGGUGCAGUAGCCUAAAUGGCAGGCGCGGCGGCGGCGGGAAAUAGCAACAGCAGCAGGCGCGGCGGCGGCGGGAAUUAGCAACGGAGUAGCAGCGGCAGCGAUGAAGGUGGGGCUGGGAGGUGCAGUAGCCUAAACGGCAGGUGCGGCGGCGGCGGGAAAUAGCAACGCAGCAGCAGCGGCAGCGACGGCGUGGGGCUGGGAGGUGCAGUAGCCUAAACGGCAGGCACGGCAGCGGCGGGAAAUAGCAACAGCAGCAGGCGCGGCGGCGGCGGGAAUUAGCAACGGAGUAGCAGCGGCAGCGACGGCGGUGGGGCUGGGAGGGCCAUUAGUCUCAACAGCAGGCACGGCGGCGGGGGGAAAUAGCAACAGCAGCAGGCGUGGCGGCGGCAGGAAUUAGCAACGGAGUAGCAGCGGCAGUGAUGAAGGUGGGGCUGGGAGGUGCAGUAGCCUAAACGGCAGG